AUUGAACGCUGGCGGCAUGCCUUACACAUGCAAGUCGAACGGUAACAGGUUAAGCUGACGAGUGGCGAACGGGUGAGUAAUACAUCGGAACGUGCCCAGACGUGGGGGAUAGCUCGGCGAAAGCCGGAUUAAUACCGCAUAAGCUCUGAGGAGGAAAGCGGGGGACCGUAAGGCCUCGCGCGUUUGGAGCGGCCGAUGGCAGAUUAGGUAGUUGGUGGGGUAAAGGCUUACCAAGCCUACGAUCUGUAGCUGGUCUGAGAGGACGACCAGCCACACUGGGACUGAGACACGGCCCAGACUCCUACGGGAGGCAGCAGUGGGGAAUUUUGGACAAUGGGCGAAAGCCUGAUCCAGCAAUGCCGCGUGCAGGAUGAAGGCCUUCGGGUUGUAAACUGCUUUUGUACGGAACGAAGAGGCGCCUACUAAUACUGGGUGUUGAUGACGGUACCGUAAGAAUAAGCACCGGCUAACUACGUGCCAGCCGCCGCGGUAAUAC
rnacentral:rRNA from 1 species